rnacentral:lncRNA from 1 species
ANNNNNNNNNNCUCAAAAUAAAUAAAUAAAUAAAUAAAAAUAAAUAAAUAAAUACGUAUGUUGUUUCUAAUUAAUAGGUUCAGAUAUGAAUAUAAGAUAUGUCAAAUUAUUACAGAAUCACCUGUAAUUAUGUUAUUUUUAAAUAAUGGAAAGGAAACUCAUGAGUCAUUAUUAGCAAAGAGAUGACUUUGGAAUAAGGCAAGCUCAUUCAGCUAAUAUAAUGCUUUGCAAGACACACUUCCUAUUUAUAUGUACAGUUAAUAACAUCUAUUAUGUAGUCUUAGUCCUAGAAGCCUGUGUUUGUUGCGAGAAAUACUUUAAAGCAGAAGCUUAAUUACAUAGUGCUCAAGUUUCUCUGGCAACUUCAAAGUGAGAAAGUCAUUUGUGCUUUAAUGCAGAUUUUGAAAGAGAAAAAUAAGUUUUCAAGUUGAGAACCCCACAAGUUUGAGACAAGGAGAAUGGAGGAGGAAUAAAAUGUUAGAUUAGAAUUUAUUUUUCCAGUAUAUGACAACAAAAGCAGUAAGAGGGAAAAACUGUUUUUCUUCUUCUUCAUCUUACUAUUAUUAUUAAUAGGAAGUAUAAACCUAGGGCUGUCCAAUUUAAUUUGGAGUUCAUAGAACUGAAUGGAUGCGUUUUUGCAUUUUAUAAGGCAGAGAAAUUUUAGAUACCAUUAACUGUCCCUCAUUUAAUAAAAUACUUUUGAACUCUGAGAAAUACAUCCAUCAUGGUAUGAAAUUGGAUCUGUAGCUAAAGGAAGU